UGGGGUUGUGGCUCAGUGGUAGAGCGCUCGCCUAAAAUGUGGGAGGCUCUGGGUUCGAUCCUCAGCACCACAG